GGAGCUGUGCCUGAAACAAAGGGCCACUUUGAUAGAGUGAAUUAUAGGGGUUAAAGUCCCCUCAGCUCCU
rnacentral:tRNA from 1 species